rnacentral:piRNA from 1 species
UGAGUCUUCACUGUUGCCAAUCGAUCUAC